CGGAGAUUAAGCUAAAAGAAAGGUCUACGACAGUUCCAUCGGACACCGGCGGCGAAACAUGGCUUCUUCGGCGAGGAUCAGAUCUGACAUCUACGACAGAGAAGAACGCAAGCAGCAAUACCAAGCGCAUAUUCGUGGUUUGAAUGCUUACGAGCGGCAUAAGAAGUUUAUGAAAGACUACGUUCGUUUUUAUGGGGAGGAUAAGCCAGUUGAAGUUAAGUUACCCGUUAAAACGGAUCAGGACACACUAAGAGAAGGAUACAGGUUUAUACGUUCUGAGGAAGAUGAUUUUAAUCCUUCUUGGGAGCAAAGAUUGGUGAAGCGAUACUAUGAUAAGCUUUUUAAAGAAUACUGUAUAGCUGACAUGUCAAGAUACAAGACUGGUCAGAUGGGUUUAAGAUGGAGAACGGAAAAGGAAGUAAUGACUGGGAAAGGGCAGUUUAUGUGUGGGAGCAAACAUUGUGAUGAAAAGGACGGUUUAGCAAGCUAUGAGGUGAACUUUUCUUAUCAUGAAGCUGGAGAAGACAAACAAGCCCUUGUAAAACUCGUAGCUUGUAAGAGAUGUGCGGACAAGCUUUACUACAAAAAAAGAAAAGAGGGCGAAAGGUCAGAGAGUAAAGAAAAGAAAAGGCAGAAACGAAAACGGAAUCAAUCAUGCAGUGAAGAUGACGCAGAUGAAGAGGAGAGGAGAAAAGGAAAAAGGGGAAAGCGCAAGGCAGAAGGUGGUGAUAGAGAAGGCAAGGAUGAUGAAAACUUUGACGAAUAUAUGGAGGGAAUGUUCCCAGGAAAGGGUGAUAGGUAGAGCUCCAAAAGGGAGGCUGACACGAUACUAGAAAUACCAGCAAGACUCUUGCCAGAGACUGUAACUGUGAAAGACUUCUUCUCCCCAGUUGACUUGAAAGAGAUCGUAUCUGGUUCGACUUUGAUACUGAGUUUGGGAUCCCCAGACAAUUUUGCCUUAACAAGUAAAGGUUCCGCCCGCAAGAGUACUAACGCCUUGAGCUGAGUAGUUCAAAGAGCAAAGCAUGUUCAAGUAAUCCUCUUUGGCUAU